GAAUUUGAUCUUGGUUCAGGAUGAACGCUGGCGGCGUGCCUAACACAUGCAAGUCGAACGGAGUUAUAUAACGGAAGUUUUCGGAUGGAAGAUAUGUAACUUAGUGGCGGACGGGUGAGUAACGCGUGGGCAACCUGCCCUGUACCGGGGGAUAACACUUAGAAAUAGGUGCUAAUACCGCAUAAGCGCACAGCUUCGCAUGAAGCAGUGUGAAAAACUCCGGUGGUACAGGAUGGACCCGCGUCUGAUUAGCUAGUUGGUGGGGUAGAGGCCCACCAAGGCGACGAUCAGUAGCCGGCCUGAGAGGGUGACCGGCCACAUUGGGACUGAGACACGGCCCAAACUCCUACGGGAGGCAGCAGUGGGGAAUAUUGCACAAUGGGGGAAACCCUGAUGCAAGCGACGCCGCGUGAGUGAAGAAGUAUUUCGGUACGUAAAGCUCUAUCAGCAGGGAAGAAAAUGACGGUACCUGACUAAGAAGCCCCGGCUAACUACGUGCCAGCAGCAGC
rnacentral:rRNA from 1 species